AUGCAGCUGACGAGUUCAAAAUAGGACGAAACACGCGUCCUGAAU
rnacentral:hammerhead_ribozyme from 1 species